GUGUCUUCUUGUUAAACAUAGCAACCUUUUACAAUCAGAGAUACCGUUUGGGGAAGCACAUUUUUACAUUUCAGAUUUUAAAAAAAAAUACGUAUGAUUCAUGAUUAAUUUGCAGAAGUAGAAUUAGCAUGUUGUUUCAAAUUAAAAAGUUAAACCUUACACCUCUUAAAAUAAAUCUUGAAGCUAUUUUUUAUUCUUUUUUUUUUUUCUCCAUUUAUGGUGGGAAGAUGUCCAGAUCAAUAGUCCAUCCAGUGUUUUCCGUUCUGUAACUAAUGUUGACCGUGUAAUUAGAGAGACAAACUAAGG